UCUAUUGCGGAAUUGUCUCGGAGGUCUAUGCAGAGAAACUGAGGUUUGAAAAAAAUGGAAUAAGAUUUCUGCUUAAAAAAGGAAACAGUGAAAGAGAAGCGUGGGUAUUGAUCAUUAUGAUGAAUGUUUGAAGUCAGAACAAUAUUCAAGCUCUGGCUCUGCGUUAACCCAGUAGUAUGUGUUGAGCUAGCUUCCUGGCUUGUCUACAUCUGCUUCUUCAUGAAAUAUGGAGAUGAAGACGACUAUCUGGUAGAAAUUAGAGUAAGAAUCGAGUGAUGCAGUUAAUGUAGUUAAAGUUUCUGGCAUGGAGUCCACACAUGGGAACCCAGUAACCCUCAGUUAUCAUCAUUGUGUUUGUUAGUAUAGUAUCUUUUUUGGGUGCUAGGGAAAAAAACAAAAAACAAAAAACAGAGCCUUGCACAAGGAAGGCUGGAGCUCUGCCUCCAGACAUAUAAGCCUAGGCUGGUCUCCAACUCACGAUGUCAUUGCUUCCAUCUACUGAGUACUCGUAUUAUGGGGUAUGCAUAUAUAACCACAGUCAGCGGAAGUUAAGGUAGAGCUUAGCCAUUAAUCCACUCAAUCAUAUCCCCAAACCCAUAAUCCAGACUUUGUAUAAGGAGGAAAAUGAUGUAAACAAAAGCUCUGAAAGUGUCGUUGGCCACAAAAAAAAUGGAAGACGGGCUGGGGACCUGAAGACGACAGCAAAAGCUACUGAGGAAACUCAGAUGUCAUAGGACAGAAGAAUCAGCCAUGGAAAUGUCCCCUGCUGAGGUUCAUUUCGGUGAAGCUGCUGAGAAGAUGAUUUAUUACACAGCAUGUUGCCUUUCACUAAACACAGUUCCUACAGAAUCAAAGGGACAUGAUGAGAGCGAACCAUCCUCAGUGUUGGUACUCAACACAAGGCACACUGGUCUAGCAUCAUACCCCUUAACGGGGAAGAUAAACACAUCAUCCGGUUUAAAUUAAACUCAUUAGCAGCUGUCAACCCCAAGGAAAAAUGUCAACACUAAUCAAGACAGCAUCUAAAGGUGUUGCAUCUCCUUCAUUUAUCUCCUGUUCCCAGAAGGUGCCGUCAGAUGAAAACCUCCAGCUCUGACGGCUCUGUCAUUUGCUAACUAUGAUUAGAAUGCAAUUGCACAGGCAUGGAUUAAUGUUGUCUUACUCUGGCAAAACACCUGUCUUCACUUUUUUAGGGAAGGAAUGAAUAAGUAUUACAAGCCAUGCAUGACUGUAGGCCUGUAUUGCCGGUUCUUCUCGGCUGCUCUCCACACAGUGAUGCUGUGGUGAUUUAGUUCAUUGCACUUCUCAUAGUAGUUACAACCUACUGUUAUCAGGUAGUAACUUCAGCCUUUCUGACUCACAGAUGAUGUGCUGUAAGGAAGAGUAAUUUUCUCUUAGCUUUAUGCAGUCAAUAAAACACUGAUACAUUUAGUAAA